AUCUAAUACGUCUGUGCACUUUAUAUUUCUUUUUGUAGUGUGAAGUAACAGUAGCACAGAAUGGCUGGAGACCAUUAACUUGAGAACUGAAGAGAUGCAGGUCUUUGUUCUAUAUGGUGAUUGAUGGAACUAUGGUGCAGUUUUGAAUUUAUAAGGUGUGAAGUUACAGAAAAGCAGAAUAGCUACAGACCAUUAAAUUUAGAAAAUGAAGAGAUGCAUGUCUCUGUUCAGCAUGGUGUUUAUGGGAAACAUUGUAGGUCACAGACCUCUGUUCAGCAUGGUGUAUAUGGGAAACAUUGUGGGUCACAGACAUGAAAUGGUUUGUGUGAAGUAACAGUAAAGCAGAAUGGCUACAGACAAUUAGUUCAGAAUUGAAGAAGAGAUGCAGGUCUUUGUUCUAUAUGGUGUAUGAGGGAACCAUGGUGGAAAUUUGGAUUUCAUGGCAGUCAUAGAAAUAUCUAAUAAGUCUGUAGGAAAGUGAUGUGUGUACCAGUCUGUCAGACUUUUACCUGUCUGCCC